rnacentral:lncRNA from 1 species
AACUCAGACUGCUCCGGACAGUGGCGAACCUGCCAAGGAUUUCCAGUCACAUGAAAGCCAAGAGGAGCAGUAGCCGUUGCAGGCAGAUGAAGGAAUCAAUUUUUUUUAUGGCUCGCUCUCUCGCUGCCCAUGAACCGGGAGGUAGUUAGGUUGAAACAUACCCGACGAGCAACUAGAAGUUUGGUUCUUCUACCCUGUAUGUGGCUGGGGCACGGGACAGAUGUUCUUCGCUUUUUUUCUUGUGACUAUUUGACAUUACAUAAUAAUGCCCCUGUGUUUGAUGGGUUUCUUUCAAUGUGAUACAUUUGUUUGCAAGGAGACGCCGAUCGCAGUUAGUCGGGCUCCAGUACCCUAUAUUCGGUCUUAUCAGGGGAGUACGAUAAAUAUGACACACCAUUAAACGUGUCUUUCACUGAAUAUCGCUUAAAGGAGUUCGUGGUUUCCUUUCGUAGUUCAGUCCUGCAGAAUCUGGAAGGGAAUCAUGGAGUCGACGAUAAUUUAUUUAGUUGACGUGGUGCGUAACGUUGCUUUGCCCGACCUCGUAAACGUGAAUAGUAGCUACAAUGACAUGAGUGCACAGUUGAAACCGUGCCACUUGGUUGGUUUCUAUUCCUCGCUCCCUCAUAGUUAUGACUGUUUGCGUUGCGAGGUACUGCAUAUUUCAUCAUGUAGCCUUUAUUUUUGUUUUUACUUCAGUAUGUUGCUGAGGAGUUCACUGUGUUUUCCAUAACAUGUGCAACGUCGUACCACUUUGUCGCCUGGUGAUGAACUGGCAACCGGGGACAGAUGAUACCACAGGCAGCAGUAUUUGGCAGUCCUUGGGAGGACGAGGUGUAGAUUAUCACUAGUCCCCUUUGUGAUUAUGGUGACACGAGAUUUUCCCCUCUUUGAAGCUCUGAGUAUAGCGUGAUUUGCGGGGUGUGUCUCUGGUUGCUGAAGAUGGGUUGUCCAUUCGAACGUGAAGCUCGAUAAUGUUUGGCGUUAUGAAGCUUGAAAAAAAGAAACAUAACUCCUCAUUAUGUCAUGCGCAAGGAUUGUUCUGCAACCUGUGUGCAAGGGACGGAUUGUUGCAGGACAUGAUGUACGACAUUGUUUUUCGUAUUCCAUGUCUAAAGGCGUGUCAUUUGAGUCACAUUCCUGCACCAAACCUCCAAUGACAGGCGCUGUGCUUUGGAGAGUACGCAAGGAUUUGAAUCGCUCUACCUGUUGGUAGAUAUCUUUUCUUGUUUUCCGUUUUGUCACAGCACCGUAUCUGUCUCCCGGGCAGCGCAAACAAGCAUCAGCUUUCUGCUAGUAUGAUGUUUUCUGGCAUAGGCUUUCAAAGAUAUGGUAAUGGUAAACUGCACGAUGAGACGUUGCUCCCUAGAGGAAGUAUGCAAACCCAUACAGCAGCCAAAGCGUUCGCAAAUAAAUUUCAUUGCAUGACAAGCCCCACGCUCGUCAGCGCAUUUGCCGAAUAUUCUUGGGAGAGUCCCAUUUUUUGAUGUUUUCUGGAAACACGUGCUACCUCUUAACACCCCAGCAAGUUUUCUUACUGAAACCAAGGGAGCGAGAAGCCUUGCAGCGGAAUGCGGCUUGCCAUAUCUACUCGAGGGUCGUUGCGAGGAAGGGGAUUGUGCUGUGAGAGUAGCGGCAGAGAUGUGGCCUGUGGUGAUGUUUCCCCUCUCAACGGUAGGUUGGUCGAUGUAAUGUUUUUGCAGCGCGGGGAAACACUGCUGGUGAGGCAAUGUGAUUGAAGGCGAUCUUACAUCGACGUCAGUAAUUCCUGACAAGUUGGGAACGCUUUUAAAAAGAUGCGGGCGUCUUCACGCCGUUGCUGUCUCCCCUGCUCUAUCGUUUCCAUGCUCAGCCUGAGGAUGUAGGUUGCGAGAGAUCUGAUGUUGAUUCCAAAGUGGGGAUAGGAAGCUGGAAAAAUCGUGCUCCGGCUUUACAGUGCAGGGUGACAGACCUGAAGCACGACACCACGUCACUGCGUCAGACACGUGUCAGCCACCGCGCUUUUGGCGUUAAAGUCGAUGUAGUUUGAUGGCUCAGUUGGUUCACAACAGGUAAAUAGCUGACGGGGAUAAAUUUGUCUUGCAGUUGCCGUUCACGCAAGGAUGUGGUUGACUUCGCUGCGUAACGCGAGCCGGUGACAAAUUUGCGUGUCGUUAGCAGCACCAUGGGAGUGUGAUGCGCAUGGGGGGAGGUGUCAAAUAUCCAGUGCACCGUGAAGGGAAGCUUUGGAAUCGUGAGGUGUUCAGAUGUCAUUUCGGUUGUUACGCCAUCACACCACAAACACUAGCAAGUAUUGCGCGGAAACAAGGCGAGUCACGCAUUUCGCUGGGACUGCGUGUAGCAGGCGGGACUGUACUGAGCGGUGCAUGUGAUACCACAGAGGCUCGAGAUGAAUCUUUUUUUCGAGUGGAGAAUCAUCGCAUUCCGUAAGCGCUGGCCUGAACCGAUGCGGAACUUGCGACUGUUAGAAGAUGGUCUAUCCAGCGAUGGAAUCAUAUACUUGGGGUUUUUCGUUUUAUUUGAUGACUGGGAAAUGUGCAGUUCUUUUUGUUUCUUCUGUAGGACGC